GAUGAACGCUAGCGGCAGGCUUAAUACAUGCAAGUCGUGGGGCAGCAGGACUGUAGCAAUACAGUUGCUGGCGACCGGCAAACGGGUGCGGAACACGUACGCAACUUACCCUGAACUGGGGGAUAGCCCGGGGAAACCCGGAUUAAUACUCCGUAAUAUAAUGGAGUGGCAUCACUUUAUUAUUAAAGCUCCGGCGGUUCGGGAUGGGCGUGCGGCUGAUUAGGUAGUUGGUUGAGGUAACGGCUCACCAGGCCUACGAUCAGUAACUGGUGUGAGAGCACGACCAGUCACACGGGCACUGGCACACGUGCCCGACACCUACGGGAGGCAGCAGUAAGGAAUAUUGGGCAAGGGAGGCAACUCUGACCCAGCGAUGCCGCGUGGAGGAAGAAGGCCCUCUGGGUUGUAAACUUCUUUUAUAGGGGACGAAACCUGUGUAUUCUUACGCAGUUGACGGUACCCUAGGAAUAAGCACCGGCUAACUCCGUG
rnacentral:rRNA from 1 species